rnacentral:rRNA from 1 species
UACGUAGGGGCGAGCGUUGUCCGGAAUGAUUGGGCGUAAAGGGCGCGCAGGCGGCCUGUCAAGUCAGUAGUGGAAGUCCAUUUUUUCAAGGAUGGAAGUGCUAUAGAAACUGAUGGGCUUGAGUGCAGGAGAGGUUAUCGGAAUUCCCGGUGUAGCGGUGAAAUGCGUAGAGAUCGGGAGGAACACCAGUGGCGAAGGCGGGUAACUGGACUGCAACUGACGCUGAGGCGCGAAAGUGUGGGGAGCAAACAGGAUUAGAUACCCGGGUAGU